GAGGAACGCUGGCGGCGUGCCUAAUACAUGCAAGUCGAGCGAACAGACGAGGAGCUUGCUCCUCUGACGUUAGCGGCGGACGGGUGAGUAACACGUGGAUAACCUACCUAUAAGACUGGGAUAACUUCGGGAAACCGGAGCUAAUACCGGAUAAUAUAUUGAACCGCAUGGUUCAAUAGUGAAAGACGGUUUUGCUGUCACUUAUAGAUGGAUCCGCGCUGCAUUAGCUAGUUGGUAAGGUAACGGCUUACCAAGGCAACGAUGCGUAGCCGACCUGAGAGGGUGAUCGGCCACACUGGAACUGAGACACGGUCCAGACUCCUACGGGAGGCAGCAGUAGGGAAUCUUCCGCAAUGGGCGAAAGCCUGACGGAGCAACGCCGCGUGAGUGAUGAAGGUCUUCGGAUCGUAAAACUCUGUUAUUAGGGAAGAACAUAUGUGUAAGUAACUAUGCACGUCUUGACGGUACCUAAUCAGAAAGCCACGGCUAACUACGUG
rnacentral:rRNA from 1 species